rnacentral:tRNA from 1 species
GUGGGGUUGUGGCUCAGUGGUAGAGCACUUGCCUAGCAUGCAUGAGGCACUUGGUUCUAUCCAAAGCACUACA